CCUACGGGGGGCAGCAGUGGGGAAUAUUGGACAAUGGGGGGAACCCUGAUCCAGCCAUGCCGCGUGUUUGAAGAAGGCCCUCGGGUUGUAAAGCACUUUCAGUGAGGAAGAACGCCUGGUGGUUAAUACCCAUCAGGAAAGACAUCACUCACAGAAGAAGCACCGGCUAACUCCGUGCCAGCAGCCGCGGUAAUACGGAGGGUGCGAGCGUUAAUUGGAAUUACUGGGCGUAAAGCGCGCGUAGGUGGCUUGAUAAGCCGGUUGUGAAAGCCCCGGGCUCAACCUGGGAACGGCAUCCGGAACUGUCAAGCUAGAGUGCAGGAGAGGAAGGUAGAAUUCCCGGUGUAGCGGUGAAAUGCGUAGAGAUCGGGAGGAAUACCAGUGGCGAAGGCGGCCUUCUGGACUGACACUGACACUGAGGUGCGAAAGCGUGGGUAGCAAACAGGAUUAGAUACCCUUGUAGUC
rnacentral:rRNA from 1 species